GAAUCAUUCAGGUAAAUACGUUGCAUGACUGCAAAUCACGUGGAUUUUUUAACAUGUUGUGAAUUUACACUACAGUGGUAAGCGUUACGGUAAUUUAUGGAAGCAGCUGGCAAAGGCUUUCGGCAAGGGUAGACUAAGCAAGUUAAUUACUUGAGGAACUUGACAUUAUGUCUACAAACAGUCCAGGGAUAAAAAGGAACAAGGACAGAGAUGAGGUGAUGAAAGCAGUGCAGCGUUUGGUUGAUGUGGGAGAUGAUGUUUUAUCAACAGCACGAGAAUUGAUCAAAGAUUCUGUGGAUACAUUUGUUGAUGAGAAGAUUGGAGUAUUGUUCAAGCUGGCAUUGGCUUAUAAUACAUGUUUUCAAAGCCUUGAAAUAAAAACAAAGAGUGAUUUGGAGCACUUAACAGAGAAAUUCUACAGUCCCAGAUAUCCUGACUUUCGUGAUCUCAUAGAUGACUGGCUCGAUAUUGAGCAACAGUGGGAUGACCUUUUGAAAAAUAUUGACAAGAAGAUUAACCAUGGAGACGAUAAGGUGGUACAUGUUGGCGAGGAGGGUCCUGUCGACGUGUCCUUGGUGAACGCGAAGACUGGCGACACCACGACAAUCAGGAAUUAUCUGGGGAAGCAGAGCAUCAUCCUUGUUGGUCUGCGCCACUUCGCCUGACUCCCAUGACGAGACCAUGUCAAAGAGCUGAUGGCUAGAGAGACUGAUGUCUCUACAGCUGAUGCUCUUGUGAUUUUGUUCUCGUUUGGUGUCCGUUCUGGGGCUCAGCGCUGGUUGGCUGAAAUGGACUGUCCCUUUGACCUUUUGCUGGAUUCUGACAGACAGGUUUAUAAAACAUUUGGACUGAAGAAAUCUGUGUAUAUGGUUUGGUCAGUUUCCUGUAUGGUGUAUUAUGGGGAACAGAUGGCUGCUGGAAGAUCACUGCCACGUCCAUACGAAGAUCUCCAUGACGACCCUAACCAGAUGGGAGGAGACUUUAUUUUGGAUAAGACUGGAAGCAUUGUGCUGUUGUACUGCAGCAAGACGGCUAAAGAUCGACCAAGUGUUGAUCUUCUCUUGGAAACUUUGAAGACAAUUGAUAAGUGAUCGUCUUGGGCUUAACUGAAAAUGAAGGUCAUUGUUAAACUUUCUAAGAGCCUUGACUGGAUGUCAUCAGUUAGUGAGCCUUUGGAGAAAAUAUCAGAGAUCCUGUCUUCCAGAUUUCAUCCCACGAUGCCUGGAUCUGGAGGUUAUUUAUCACAUUCUUUAUUUCAUUAUUUCGUAAAACAAAAUCUCUGAAAUGCUUCUCUACCAAUUCAUUUAAUAUAUUCUCUGUUCAGCUCCCAUUUUUAGGUUCUUUGCACUUUUAUGGUAUCUUCCAUGAUCAAUAAUAUAAUACAAUUUCAACUUUUUAUUGCAGUUGUCCUCAAAACCAUAUUUUGAUUUUGAAGCAAUUGUAAAAUUCAGCAAGAUGCUGCAUGUACUGUGAAUAAUACUAGUGUAUGCUAUGGAGUUGAUGACUUGCUUUGUUUUAUUUUUAUUAUCACUGGGAUUUACAAUUUUGGUUGCACGUUUCUUGUUUUCACAAAACUAUCAAUCAGAGGUAUCUGGACAGAACUAGUGUUAUCAGGUUGUUUUACUGAAGGUAACACAUUUAACAAUCACUGCCACUUUCAGCGGAUUUCUGCAAUGAGUUUUUUGCAGUUUGAACUGCUAUUGCUUUCAGGAUACCUGGUUGAUGUCACAUGCUAAAAAAAUCAUUACAAGAGUUAAGAGUUGAUGGAAUAUCUAUCCUGAGUCUAUUUUAGAGUACUUAAAUUGUAACAUCAGAUUGAUAAGAUUUGUUUUCGUGUUCAGGUAUUUUUAAACAUUUGUUUAUUAAUUAUAAGCUUCAAAAUAAAUUACUAAUGGUAAACAAUCCAUAAGUGGUUGCUAACUAAACCACAGAUAUAUUGCCACUACUUCCCAGUGUUUGGGUAUUUCAUGCAAAAGCAUAGACUAUUUAAUCAGGAGACGAUUGUUCUAGGUAUGACAGGUAUUGUUCUAGGUAUGACAGUCACACUGGGAACCCAUCACUUCAACCUGACUGACUGAUUGGCAUCACAACCUGGUCCCAUUCUUUGCUAAGAAAACCCUUCGAGUCUAGACUCAAGACUCUAAUAAGAGUUUGAGACUUUAACACCAUGCAUGUGAUGUGAAAAUGCUUUUCAAGAUUCUUUGUAUAAGUUUUCUGUAAAAAUCAAAUCCUUGUCCUAUUUAUGAAAUUAUCAUAUGAGGACAUUAUCAGGUUUGGUUAAUAGACCAAAGCCAUAGUAUUAUCUGUAAGUCAUCAUGUCAUGGAACAACAAUCAACUCGAUUCUGGUUUUGUUUUUGUGGAGUAUCGUGCAGAAAAUAGCAAUAUUCACAGAUAAUAUCAGUGUUAAAAGACAUGAACAAGAAAUUUGAAGAUGUUAAAUGGUGGAUGCAUGUAUCUGUCUAUUCUGUUUAUGUUUAUUAUUCGGUACUCUGUCUCUUGGGAUAAAACAUUUGAUAGCUUUUACUAAUAGCUAUGUUUGAGGGCAUUUUGAGCACCUCAAAAAAUGGUUUUGGAAAGCACCUUUUUAUUAGCACAUAUGUUAAGAGCCUGUCAGUUUUAUUACUUAGCAAAGAUUGUUUCCAUUGUCAGUUUUAUUAAUGGUAUUUUGGUUGUCUAAAUCAGUGUUGAACAAAUACACCAAACAAAUGAUAUUUUAUUACCUUAUACAAAGCAUCUAUGAUAAAAAGGACAACAGACUAUUUUGAUUGCUGUAACUAUAUUAGGCAGUGAUAUGUAAGAUGCAUAUGUUUGCACAUUUAUUGAUAUAUUCUUUUUGACAUAAUAUAUAAGUUAAUUUUUAUUUGUUGUAUUAUUAAAUGUAUAUUUAGUUUAUUUUUUAAUUUUAUUAUUAAAAUAUAUAACUACA